AUUGAACGCUGGCGGCAUGCCUUACACAUGCAAGUCGAACGGUAACAGGUUAAGCUGACGAGUGGCGAACGGGUGAGUAAUGUAUCGGAACGUGCCCAGUCGUGGGGGAUAACUGCUCGAAAGAGCAGCUAAUACCGCAUACGACCUGAGGGUGAAAGCGGGGGAUCGCAAGACCUCGCGCGAUUGGAGCGGCCGAUAUCAGAUUAGGUAGUUGGUGAGGUAAGGGCUCACCAAGCCGACGAUCUGUAGCUGGUCUGAGAGGACGACCAGCCACACUGGGACUGAGACACGGCCCAGACUCCUACGGGAGGCAGCAGUGGGGAAUUUUGGACAAUGGGCGCAAGCCUGAUCCAGCCAUGCCGCGUGCGGGAAGAAGGCCUUCGGGUUGUAAACCGCUUUUGUCAGGGAAGAAAAGGUUCUGGCUAAUACCUGGGACUCAUGACGGUACCUGAAGAAUAAGCACCGGCUAACUACGUG
rnacentral:rRNA from 1 species